CCUACGGGAGGCAGCAGUGGGGAAUAUUGGGCAAUGGAGGAAACUCUGACCCAGCAAUGCCGCGUGAAUGAAGAAGGUCUUCGGAUUGUAAAGUUCUUUAGUCAGGGAAGAAUAAAAUGACGGUACCUGAAGAAUAAGCUCCGGCUAACUACGUGCCAGGAGCCGCGGGAAUACGUAGGGAGCAAGAGUUGUUCGGAAUGACUUGGUGUAAAGGGUGCGUAGGCGGUUAUACAAGUUAGAAGGGGAAUACCCGGGGCUUAACUCGUGUGUUGCUGCUAAAACUGUGAGACUUGAGUGCGGUAGAGGUUGGUGGAAUGCGUGGUGUAGCGGUGAAAUGCGUAGAUAUUAGGAGGAACACCGGAGGCGAAGGCGGCUAACUGGGCUGCAACUGACGCUGAGGCACGAAAGUGUGGGGAGCAAUCAGGAUUAGAUACCCGAGUAGUC
rnacentral:rRNA from 1 species